CGAUCGCGGGAAGUUCGCCUCACCCGUUCGGCGUUUCCGUGGUUGUGUGGGAUUCCGAAGUUUAUUUUGGACAGUUCGUAAACAUUCGAAAAAAGCCCGUGCAGCUCCCGCCGCUUGCGUCCGCUAACAUGAAACAUGCAAAGGGCCGGACAGCCUCAAGUUUAGUCAUCGUGCAUUAAUGGAUGUAUCAGAUGCGGACUUUGACUCGUACUGGGAGAAUGAGUCUCGCAACAACAACCGCAACCGCAUUCGAGUAGGCCGA